AUUGAACGCUGGCGGCAUGCCUUACACAUGCAAGUCGAACGGUAACAGGUCUUCGGAUGCUGACGAGUGGCGAACGGGUGAGUAAUACAUCGGAACGUGCCUAGUAGUGGGGGAUAACUACUCGAAAGAGUGGCUAAUACCGCAUGAGAUCUACGGAUGAAAGCAGGGGAUCGCAAGACCUUGUGCUACUAGAGCGGCCGAUGGCAGAUUAGGUAGUUGGUGGGAUAAAAGCUUACCAAGCCGACGAUCUGUAGCUGGUCUGAGAGGACGAUCCGCCGCAUGGGGACUGACACACGGCCCAGACUCCUACGGGAGGCAGCGGUGGGGAAUUUGGGACAAUGGGCGAAAGCGUGAUCCAGCAAUGCCGCGUGAAGGAUGAAGUCUUUGGGGUUGUAACCUGUUUUUGUACGGAACGAAAACCCUGGGGUUAAGCCCGUGGGGUCAUGCCGGAACCGUAAGAAUAAGCACCGGCUAACUACGUGCAAGCCCCCGCCUUAA
rnacentral:rRNA from 1 species